rnacentral:misc_RNA from 1 species
GAUAAAGUGUGUUCUCUAGCAUGAUCAGAGCAUAGGAGAGGGACUCAACUUUCAUCAAAAUUCAUGUUCUACUUUGCUGUAAUGGAUGGCAUGCAUCUGUUGUUGCAUCCACUCAUUGUCAGGAUCAGUGGAGCAUCGACUAGAUAAUUCUUUCCAGAUGUGGCGAUUGGCUGCAAUUCUUUUAGGAUAAACACAGGUUAACGACAAUAUGAACUCAGAGUGGGCCAACUUUUGGCGUACGACUGCUCUCUGAUAAGUUUGUUGAUAGCCUUGCAUGAAUUGUGAUCAACAGAAUAGCUUCUCUACAUGUGAUCGAUCAUGUUUUUCUGUAUAUCCUUUUGUCUCAAGCUGCUGCUAAUGGAAAGUAGCGCAAACAGUAGUUUGUCAAUUUUCCAGCAUGAACAGCAGUACCAAGUUUUUUGCUGUUACACCAAAUUAUUUGCAAUAUUUAACAUCCUUAUUAUUGUGAUUACUGCUAAU